rnacentral:lncRNA from 1 species
UCAUAGAACAAUCUACAGAGUCAUGUCAGCCCUGGCAAAUUCACCAACCCUUCUCAUUGCUGCACCAUACACCGCAAUGCUCGACAAGGUGCAGUUUCACAGUUGACGAGCCUGCCAGUGGCUUCUUUAGGCUCUGGUCCUACCACCAGGCGAACGUUUGCUGUAGCCUUUCUUUUCUCUUUCAGGGUCACCCUGGCUUUCAUUGGGAUCAGCUUGCUGAUUAUAGGAACUACACUGGUUGGCCAGCUUCCAGACAGCAGGUGACGUGUCUCCUUCCAUCCAGCCAUAAGUAGGACUGUCUUCUUUUUCUAGCUGUGUCCACAAAGCUAGAGUUUGUAGGUUUCUCAUUAAUUUUUUGGUCUAAAGCGAUUUCUGGGAAUUCUUACUUCAUCUUCGUAGCCUUUAUUUGAUUUUUCACCAUACUUUGGUUCAGACUAGAAGUGUUUAUGCAAAGGAGAAAUGAGGGGAUAAAAGAAAGUGGAGUGAGGGAGGGAGAGAGCCUCAGACCCAGAGGGAGGGAGAGAAGAGAGCCUCAGACCCAGAGGGAGGGAGCGAGCCUUGCCACUUGCAGCCUGGAAGAACCCCAGUUGCCCUUGGUGAAGACUGUCUUACAGUCCAGCAGAGUGGACACUAGGUCCUAUUAGCUUUGUCUGAUUCUCCUGGUACACUUGGGCCUUUAAUAGCAAACGCAUGGAUGAAACAAGCAUCAAACCGCUGCUCAGUGUAGCUGAACCCAGGCUGCCGCUGUGAAGGGCACACUGGAGCGGUUUCUGUGUUUCUUAGGAGUACCGAGAACAAAUCAUGAAAAUGAUUUCUUUUUCCUUCAGCCUCAAAAACUGGCUGAGUGAGCUGGUGCAUCUGACCUGCUGCAGGAUCUGUGUUCGGUCCCUAUCUGGCACCAUCCAUUACCAUAACAAGUGAGUGUCUGGUCCAUGGCUGGCCCCGCCCUCCCACAUCCUUCGGACAGAUCCAGCCGGCACACAGGAGAUCUGAGAACUUACUCUGUGUUCACCAUUGCUUUCGAGGUGUCUCAGACAUAACAAACCACUGUGCUUUCAGAAGGAAUAUGAUAAUUAACAUUGAGUGGUGUUCAGAGACACAGCGGUGCUGAGUGGGGUGCGCUUCUCUCAUUGAUGAUUCUUGGGAUGUGGGCACUGCUCUUAUUGGAUAGAUGAAUAGUGGACAAGACCUUGCUACAUAGCCCUCGCUGUCUUGGAGCUCAUUAAGUAGCACCGGCUAGCUUCGGACUUGUGGCGAUCCUCUUACAGAGCUUGGCCUCCAAAGUGCUGAGACUGCAGAUUCCAGCCACCCUGCCUGGCAACACCAUAACUGUACAAGUUCCAGAGCAAGCUCUUUCCAUCCUGACCAAGUCUUUCUGUCUCAUUUAUAGGAAGGAACAUUGUGUCAUUUGGUUGACCAGGUGUUUAUAAACAAAGGGCUUCAUAAAUUUUUUAAAUUGGUGGUGGACAUAGUCAUCCUAGCAUCUGGGGGGGUCCAGGCAAGAGAAUCAGGUGUUGAAGGCCGGUCUUAGCUUGAGACCUACAAGAGAUCCUGUCUCAACAACAUAAUAUCUUACUAAGAGCCAUCCACAUAAAUCAAAAGUAAUUCAUAAGUCAAACGUGAAUUAUAGAGAGAAUGUCAUAGUCCCUCACCCAACUCAUCAUACUACGUGCGAGUAAUGUUUUCAGGUGUGUAGGGCCUAUGUACCUUAAAUAAGACAAGUCUAUGCACACCGUUCUCUAGACUAGCGAGCGUUUUCCGAGGUGUAGUACUUACCGUUGUUUUAAUUGCAGGCAGUACAGACCCCAGAAGGGAGGUAUCUGUGUCGCCAAUCACACCUCUCCCAUUGAUGUCCUAAUCCUGGCCACCGAUGGAUGUUACGCCAUGGUAGGAAUAGCUCACUGGUGUUUCAUGUGUGCGAGCUUGCUGGAUGCAAACUAGAAAGUCUCUCUCUCUCUUUUUUUUAAAAGAUUUUUUUAUUAUUAUACUUAAGUGCACUGUAGCUGACUUCAGAUGUACCAGAAAAGGGCAUCAGAUCUCAUUACAGGUGGUUGUGAGCCACCAUGUGGUUGCUGUGAUUUGAACUCAUGACCUUCAGAAGAGCAGUCAGUGCUCUUAACUGCCGAGCCAUCUCACCAGCCUGAGAGUCCAUCUCUUAUUAGAAUUUUGGCUGAGACAUAGCUGUGCAGGCAGACAGUAUAUUUACACGAGGAACAAACGAUGCAAAGAAAAUUGCCAUGAUAGCCGAGGUGGUGGAGCACCUUCCUGAAACACAGCCUCCUUUGGCAGAACGUUGUAAAGUUGAUUUCAUCUUGCUCUGAACAUCCCAGCCAGUGUUUAAUUAUACUGC